UACGUAGGGUCCGAGCGUUGUCCGGAAUUAUUGGGCGUAAAGAGCUCGUAGGCGGCUUGUCGCGUCGUCCGUGAAAACCCACAGCUCAACUGUGGGCUUGCGGUCGAUACGGGCAGGCUAGAGUUCGGUAGGGGAGACUGGAAUUCCUGGUGUAGCGGUGAAAUGCGCAGAUAUCAGGAGGAACACCGGUGGCGAAGGCGGGUCUCUGGGCCGAUACUGACGCUGAGGAGCGAAAGCGUGGGGAGCAAACAGG
rnacentral:rRNA from 1 species